GACGAACCGAGCGAACGUUGUUCGGAAUCACUGGGCUUAAAGGGCGCGUAGGCGGGUGCUCAAGUCCGUGGUGAAAUCCUCCGGCUCAACCGGAGAACUGCCUCGGAUACUGGGUGCCUCGAGGGUGGUAGGGGUAUGCGGAACUAUCGGUGGAGCGGUGAAAUGCGUUGAUAUCGAUAGGAACUCCGGUGGCGAAGGCGGCAUACUGGACCACCUCUGACGCUGAGACGCGAAAGCGUGGGGAGCAAACAGG
rnacentral:rRNA from 1 species